rnacentral:rRNA from 1 species
ACUGCGAGUGAAGCGGGAAAAGCUCAAAUUUAAAAUCUGGCGGUCUUUGGCUGUCCGAGUUGUAAUCUAGAGAAGUGCUAUCCGCGCUGGACCGUGUACAAGUCUCCUGGAACGGAGCGUCAUAGAGGGUGAGAAUCCCGUCUUUGACACGGACUACCAGGGCUUUGUGAUGUGCUCUCAAAGAGUCGAGUUGUUUGGGAAUGCAGCUCUAAAUGGGUGGUAAAUUCCAUCUAAAGCUAAAUAUUGGCGAGAGACCGAUAGCGAACAAGUACCGUGAGGGAAAGAUGAAAAGAACUUUGGAAAGAGAGUUAAACAGUACGUGAAAUUGUUGAAAGGGAAACGCUUGAAGUCAGUCGCGUUGGCUGGGGAUCAACCUUGCUCUUUUGCUUGGCGUACUUUCCAGUUGACGGGUCAGCAUCAAUUUUGACCAGUGGAUAAAGGUCAGGGGAAUGUGGCAUCUUCGGAUGUGUUAUAGCCCUUGGUUGCAUACAUUGGUUGGGAUUGAGGAACUCAGCACGCCGCAAGGCCGGGUCUUUGACCACGUACGUGCUUAGGAUGCUGGCAUAAUGGCUUUAAUCGACCCGUCUUGAAACACGGACCAAGGAGUCUAACAUGCCCGCGAGUGUUUGGGUGGAAAACCCGGACGCGUAAUGAAAGUGAAAGUUGAGAUCCCUGUCGUGGGGAGCAUCGACGCCCGGACCAGACCUUUUGUGACGGUCCCGCGGUAGAGCGUGUAUGUUGGGACCCGAAAGAUGGUGAACUAUGCCUGAAUAGGGUGAAGCC